rnacentral:rRNA from 1 species
AGCGGCGGACGGGUGAGUAACGCGUGGGUAACCUGCCUCAUACAGGGGGAUAACAGUUAGAAAUGACUGCUAAUACCGCAUAAGACCACGGUACCGCAUGGUACAGUGGUAAAAACUCCGGUGGCAUGAGAUGGACCCGCGUCUGAUUAGGUAGUUGGUGGGGUAACGGCCUACCAAGCCGACGAUCAGUAGCCGACCUGAGAGGGUGACCGGCCACAUUGGGACUGAGACACGGCCCAG